rnacentral:tRNA from 32 species
GCGGGAGUGGUGGAAUUGGCAGACACGCAGGAUUUAGGUUCCUGUGCCCCAGGGCGUGUGGGUUCAAGUCCCACCUUCCGCACGA